rnacentral:rRNA from 1 species
AAUAUUGGACAAUGGGGGCAACUCUGAACCAGCCAUGCAGCGUGCAGUACGUCGGUUCUAUGGCUUGUAAACUGCUUUUGUACAGGAAGAAAUUAUCCCUCGUGAGGGAGCUUGACAGUACUGUAAGUCUAAGGAUCGUCUAACUCCGUGCCAGCAGCCGCGGUAAUACGGAUGAUCCAAGCGUUAUCCGGAAUCAUUGGGUUUAAAGGGUCCGUAGGCGGAUUAGUAAGUCAGGGGUGAAAGUUUGCGGCUUAACCGUAAAAUUGCCUUUGAUACUGCUAGUCUUGAAUAAUUAUGAAGUAGCUAGAAUAUGUAGUGUAGCGGUGAAAUGCUUAGAUAUUACAUGGAAUACCGAUUGCGAAGGCAGGUUACUAAUAAUUUAUUGACGCUGAUGGACGAAAGCGUGGGGAGCGAACA